AUUGAACGCUGGCGGCAGGCCUAACACAUGCAAGUCGAACGGCUGCACAGUACUUGCUUCCUCAUUCGGCUGCCGACUGGCGGGUGAUGCCUAGGAACCUCCCAAUUUACUUGGUCGUGCGUCAUAACACGGGCAAUCUUACGCCAUUCGCCCAUACGGCGUACGUGUGAGAUCUUCGGAUCUUACGCUCUCGCGCGAGUGUAUGACCGGAUGUCGGAUUAGCUAGUUGGAGGGGUAAAGGCCCACCAAGGCGACGAUCCGUAGCUGGUCUGAGAGGAUGAUCAGCCACACUGGAACUGAGACACGGUCCAGACUCCUACGGGAGGCAGCAGUGGGGAAUAUUGGACAAUGGGCGAAAGCCUGAUCCAGCCAUGCCGCGUGUGUGAAGAAGGUCUUCGGAUUGUAAAGCACUUUAGUUGGGGAAGAAGAGCAGUAAGUUAAUACCUUGCUGUUUUGACGGUACCAACAGAAUAAGCACCGGCUAACUUCGUG
rnacentral:rRNA from 1 species